CAAAGCAGCCAUAUCACUCUGCAACUCAAAAACUGGCAGCCCACUGAAGAUCAGCAGGUGUGAGCCUGCUCAGUACCAGGAUGGGAGACCUCCUAGGAAAAACUAAGGCUGCUGCUAUGG
rnacentral:rRNA from 1 species